rnacentral:rRNA from 1 species
ACAUCCAAAGAACUUUCCAGAGAUGGAUUGGUGCCUUUCGGGAACUCUGAGACAGGUGCUGCAUGGCUGUCGUCAGCUCGUGUUGUGAAAUGUUGGGUUAAGUCCCGCAACGAGCGCAACCCUUAUCCUUUGUUGCCAGCGGUCCGGCCGGGAACUCAAAGGAGACUGCCAGUGAUAAACUGGAGGAAGGUGGGAUGACGUCAAGUCAUCAUGGCCCUUACGAGUAGGGCUACACACGUGCUACAAUGGCGCAUACAAAGAGAAGCGACCUCGCGAGAGCAAGCGGACCUCAUAAAGUGCGUCGUAGUCCGGAUUGGAGUCUGCAACUCGACUCCAUGAAGUCGGAAUCGCUAGUAAUCGUGGAUCAGAAUGCCACGGUGAAUACGUUCCCGGGCCUUGUACACACCACCCGUCACACCAUGGGAGUGGGUUGCAAAAGAAGUAGGUAGCUUAACCUUCGGGAGGGCGCUUACCACUUUGUGAUUCAUGACUGGGGUGAAGUCGUAACAAGGUAGGCGUAGAUGA